CCUACGGGAGGCUGCAGUGGGGAAUAUUGCGCAAUGGGGGAAACCCUGACGCAGCAACGCCGCGUGAGUGAAGAAGGCCUUCGGUUUGUAAAGCUCUUUAAUCAGGGACGAAGAAUGACGGUACCUGAAGAAUAAGCCUCGACUAACUACGUGCCAGCAGCCGCGGUAAUACGUAGGGAGCAAGCGUUAUCCGGAUUUACUGGGUGUAAAGGGCGUGUAGGCGUGCCUGCAAGUCAGAAGUGAAAUCUGGGGGCUUAACCCCGAAACUGCUUGUGAAACUGUGGGUCUUGAGUGAUGGAGAGGCGGGCGGAAUUCCAAGUGUAGCGGUGAAAUGCGUAGAUAUUGGGAGGAACACCAGUGGCGAAGGCGGCCUGCUGGACAUUAACUGACGCUGAGGCGCGAAAGCGUGGGGAGCAAACAGGAUUAGAUACCCCAGUAGUC
rnacentral:rRNA from 1 species